CUAUUGCGGCUGACGUCCCAUGCCGGCUUGGAUGCCUCUUCCGCGUGUUUCCAGGCCGAGUGGCCGGAUUGAAGUGCUGGUCGUGUGGUCGUGCCUAGCCGCCAUAGUUCCUACAUACUGCAGGCGUUUUCGAGGAGAUCGAGCUCCACCCCGAUGUUUGGCUCCAGCGAGAAGUAGUGGUGGGCGGCCCACCGAUCGAGGCAAGGUGGCCUCCAGUUCCUCUUCCGUUGCCCCUCCCGGCCUGUCUAUCGUGCCUAUCCCAACCGUCGUUGUUGGUCGCCGAAUGAUUUGGCGCUACGGGCUGCGGAGGUUCUAAGAGUUAUGUUCAUGGAUCGAGAGUUUCUAAUGUGUGGCUUUUCAGCUCUCAGAUGUAGUACAUUCAGCUAAGAAGUAUGGUAAUGGAGAGAGUUUCAAAUGGAUUUGAUGCCAAUAUUGUUCUUGCUAGCGCUAGCUUGCGUUUGCUAUCGGUGGUGCAGCUGCUGCUUCCUGUUGUGGAUGUACUUCCUGGACAAAAUACCACACAUGAAUUGCAGCGUCCCGGGACGGCAGACAUGCUACCCUCUGCUGCCUCCUCAGGCACGAGUGCCACUUUCCUGCAACGCCUCUGGUCGAGCCUUUUGUUGCAUAGUCUCUAGGUUCGUGCAGCUUGAGAAAGGCAACGAGUCAAGCCGCCAGCACAGCACGGCCGCCUAUGAUUGAUGGCCAACCAAUGCAUGUUCAGUUGCCUUUGUUUUUGGAGUUCCUGGAGAUAGAUGGGGAUGCCUGGCUGCAGGGUCGCUGGUCCAAUAGCUCACUCUGGAGGACGGGUCAGCAUUCAGAAAAAUGUGCCUUGAAGUUCCGACGAGGGCCAUGAUGGAUUUGUAGGGCCAUGCAGCCUGUUUGUUGAAUUUUCUGCUCUUCUUUUAAUCUGUGCCGUGUGGCAAUGUGAAGAUAUGAACUUCAGUUAUAAUCUAGCUUACACGGUAAUUACUUCUUUUCCUCGCAGUCAACAGAUGUAUAUCCUAAUAUGCCAAUUCGUAAAAAAAAGUAGUAAUAUUAUGUUAUCUAAAGUUAAUUUGCAAUGUUUGCCAUAAACCUAGCCAUUUGUUUUGGGCAACUGAUACACAUUU